rnacentral:rRNA from 1 species
GACGAACGCUGGCGGCGUGCUUAACACAUGCAAGUCGAACGGAAAGGCCCCCAUCUUGGUGGGGGUGCUCGAGUGGCGAACGGGUGAGUAACACGUGGGUGAUCUGCCCUGUACUUCGGGAUAAGCUUGGGAAACUGGGUCUAAUACCGGAUAGGACCAUGGUUUAGUGUCUCAUGGUGGAAAGAUUAUUGUUUUGGUGCAGGAUGGGCUCGCGGCCUAUCAGCUUGUUGGUGGGGUAAUGGCCUACCAAGGCGUCGACGGGUAGCCGGCCUGAGAGGGUGGACGGCCACAUUGGGACUGAGAUACGGCCCAGACUCCUACGGGAGGCAGCAGUGGGGAAUAUUGCACAAUGGGCGCAAGCCUGAUGCAGCGACGCCGCGUGGGGGAUGACGGCCUUCGGGUUGUAAACUCCUUUCGUUAGGGACGAAGCCGCACUUUUUUUGGGUGUGGUGACGGUACCUUUGUUAAGAAGCACCGGCUAACUACGUG